rnacentral:rRNA from 1 species
CCUGGUUGAUUCUGCCAGUAGUCAUAUGCUUGUCUCAAAGAUUAAGCCAUGCAUGUCUAAGUAUAAGCAACUUUGUACUGUGAAACUGCGAAUGGCUCAUUAAAUCAGUUAUAGUUUAUUUGAUGGUUUUUGCUACAUGGAUAACUGUGGUAAUUCUAGAGCUAAUACAUGCAUUCAAGCCCCGACUUCUGGAAGGGGUGUAUUUAUUAGAUAAAAAUCAACUUUGUUGGUGAAUCAUAAUAACUUCUCGGACCGCAUGGCCUCGUGCUGGCGGUGCUUCAUUCAAAUAUCUGCCCUAUCAACUGUCGAUGGUAGGAUAGAGGCCUACCAUGGUUGCAACGGGUAACGGGGAAUAAGGGUUCGAUUCCGGAGAGGGAGCCUGAGAAACGGCUACCACAUCCAAGGAAGGCAGCAGGCGCGCAAAUUACCCAAUCCCAACACGGGGAGGUAGUGACAAUAUGUAACAAUAUACGGCCUUAUACGUCGUAUAAUUGGAAUGAGUACAAUUUAAAUCCCUUAACGAGGAACAAUUGGAGGGCAAGUCUGGUGCCAGCAGCCGCGGUAAUUCCAGCUCCAAUAGCGUAUAUUAAAGUUGUUGCAGUUAAAAAGCUCGUAGUUGGACCUUGGACCUGGACAGGCGGUCCGCCUCACGGCGAGUACUGUCUUGCUGGGUCUUUCCUCUUGGUGAUCUGUUGUUUCGGCAGCAGGGAACCAGGACCUUUACUUUGAAAAAAUUAGAGUGUUCAAAGCAGGCUCGACGCCGGAAUAUAUUAGCAUGGAAUAAUAAAAUAGGACGUGCGGUUCUAUUUUGUUGGUUUUUGGAAUCGCCGUAAUGAUUAAUAGGGACAGUCGGGGGCAUUAGUACUCACAUGCU